rnacentral:rRNA from 1 species
AUUGAACGCUGGCGGCAUGCCUUACACAUGCAAGUCGAACGGUAACAGGUCUUCGGAUGCUGACGAGUGGCGAACGGGUGAGUAAUACAUCGGAACGUGCCCGAGAGUGGGGGAUAACGAAGCGAAAGCUUUGCUAAUACCGCAUACGAUCUCAGGAUGAAAGCAGGGGACCGCAAGGCCUUGCGCUCACGGACCGGCCGAUGGCAGAUUAGGUAGUUGGUGGGAUAAAAGCUUACCAAGCCGACGAUCUGUAGCUGGUCGUGAGAGGACGACCAGCCACACUGGGACUGAGACACGGCCCAGACUCCUACAGGAGGCAGCAGUGGGGAAUUUUGGACAAUGGGCGCAAGCCUGAUCCAGCCAUGCCGCGUGCAGGAUGAAGGCCUUCGGGUUGUAAACUGCUUUUGUACGGAACGAAAAGACUCUGGUUAAUACCUGGGGUCCAUGACGGUACCGUAAGAAUAAGCACCGGCUAACUACGUGCCAGCCGCCGCCGUAAUAC